AUUGAACGCUGGCGGCAGGCCUAACACAUGCAAGUCGAACGGUAACAGAAAGUAGCUUGCUACUUUGCUGACGAGUGGCGGACGGGUGAGUAAUGUCUGGGGAUCUGCCUGAUGGAGGGGGAUAACUACUGGAAACGGUAGCUAAUACCGCAUAAUGUCGCAAGACCAAAGCGGGGGACUUUCGGGCCUCGCACCAUCAGAUGAACCCAGAUGGGAUUAGCUAGUAGGUAAGGUAAUGGCUUACCUAGGCGACGAUCCCUAGCUGGUCUGAGAGGAUGACCAGCCACACUGGAACUGAGACACGGUCCAGACUCCUACGGGAGGCAGCAGUGGGGAAUAUUGCACAAUGGGCGCAAGCCUGAUGCAGCCAUGCCGCGUGUAUGAAGAAGGCCCUCGGGUUGUAAAGUACUUUCAGUCAGGAGGAAGGGUGUGAAAUUAAUACUUUCAUGCAUUGACGUUACUGACAGAAGAAGCACCGGCUAACUCCGUGCCAGCCGCCGCCGUAA
rnacentral:rRNA from 1 species